GCCCCGAUGGCUCAGUUGGUUAGAGCGCAGGUCUCAUACGCACGUAUGAUCGGGUCUCAAUCCGGGCAAUCCUGAGGUCGCAAGUUCGAAUCUUGCUCGGGGCA
rfam:Hydnomerulius pinastri MD-312 unplaced genomic scaffold scaffold_38, whole genome shotgun sequence.